UUUGUAAACAUCAUGCAUCUCUCACGUGUCUGCUUCUGCAAGACAUCACCUGACAUACCUGAGUCUCCAAAGAGACUCACUUCAUGGUCAUUUAUAAAACAAACAAACAAAAGAGAUGGAAUUUUUCCACAGUGACUGGAAAGUACAAGACCAGGAAACCAACAGGUGUUCCGUGCAGCUGUGGCGGAUUCGAGGUGGCGCCGCGGGUUCCUCAUGGAUGACAGCAGAAGCUGUUAGGACGGAGACGGGGUCUCCGUGACUUCCCCUGCUCACUGACUCUUAGAGGUUCACAGUUUCCAGGAUGAAAUUGGGCAUGCGCCCGGUGUUUACUUUCUACUUUGCUGUCUCAGACUCCUCCCUCUCUCUUGCCCUCCCCCUCGCUCUCG
rnacentral:lncRNA from 1 species